AUCCCUACGGGGCGCAGCAGUGGGGAAUAUUGCACAAUGGGGGAAACCCUGAUGCAGCGACGCCGCGUGAAGGAUGAAGUAUUUCGGUAUGUAAACUUCUAUCAGCAGGGAAGAAAAUGACGGUACCUGACUAAGAAGCCCCGGCUAACUACGUGCCAGCAGCCGCGGUAAUACGUAGGGGGCAAGCGUUAUCCGGAAUUACUGGGUGUAAAGGGAGCGUAGCCGGCAAUGCAAGUCCGGAGUGGAAUGCGGCAGCUCAACUGCCGACCUGCUCUGGAA
rnacentral:rRNA from 1 species